UACGUAGGUGGCAAGCGUUAUCCGGAAUUAUUGGGCGUAAAGCGCGCGCAGGCGGUUUCUUAAGUCUGAUGUGAAAGCCCACGGCUCAACCGUGGAGGGUCAUUGGAAACUGGGGAACUUGAGUGCAGAAGAGAAAAGCGGAAUUCCACGUGUAGCGGAUGAAAUGCGUAGAGAUGUGGAGGAACACCAGUGGCGAAGGCGGCUUUUGGUCUGUAACUGACGCUGAGGCGCGAAAGCGUGGGGAGCAACAGG
rnacentral:rRNA from 1 species